rnacentral:tRNA from 1 species
CUCAAUGGAUGGGAAUCGAACCCACGACCUUCCGCUUACCGGGCAGAUGCCAUGACCACUAGGCUACCCUGGA